rnacentral:rRNA from 1 species
AACACAAACCCCGGCGCUGAAUGCGUCAAGGAAUUUUAAAUUUGCUCUGAGCGCACCUGCAUGGCACCGGAGACGGUUUUCGUGCGGGUUGUGCUCUGACCCAUAAUAUAGAAUGACUCUCGGCAACGGAUAUCUAGGCUCUUGCAUCGAUGAAGAACGUAGCGAAAUGCGAUACUUGGUGUGAAUUGCAGAAUCCCGUGAACCAUCGAGUCUUUGAACGCAAGUUGCGCCCGAUGCCAUUAGGUUGAGGGCACGUCUGCCUGGGCGUCACAUAUCGAAGCCUCUUGACAAUUUCCUUUUGAUAGGUAUUGUGCAGGGGUAAUGUUGGCCUCCCGUGAGCUCCAUCGUCUCAUGGUUGGUUGAAAAUCGAGACCAUGGUAGGGUGUGCCAUGAUAGAUGGUGGCUGUGUUACGCACGAGACCAAGUCAUGUGCUGCUCUAUUGAAGUUAGCCUCUUUUACCCACAUGCGUUUCUAAACGCUCGUGAUGAGACCUCAGGUCAGGCGGGGCUACCCGCUGAAUUUAAGCAUAUCAAUAAGCGGAGGAAAAGAAACUAACAAGGAUUCC